GGGCUUAUGAUGAAAAAAUCAUAUAUCUUAGCGGAUUUCAGUGAGAUUUUAUUAUCAAUGAUCUGAAUGUUACACACACUGAGGCCC